UCCGAAAGGUCGAAGGGAGAAAUUCAUUCGUGAAUCGCAGUCGACGUGAGACGGUCGCGUGACGGAAUUCGUUCGCGUUUUCCGCUCCUUCCGUUUUUCGAUUCGAUAGCGAACACGUGCACUUUUCUCCUGGUAGGACGUCGCGAUCCGUUGGGUGUCGGUCUACGGCUUGCGGUGGAGACCGGAUGUACGGCUUGCCGUCACGUUCGGACCCGCUCGUCCCGGCUGACUCGCUCGACGGUAGACGAACGGUUUAAGGCCGCUCUCUGGAGCGUUCGAAUCGUCGCAAGCGCGUCAGAUGUGUCGGUGAUCGGACCUGGUGCCGGUUCUGACCUCUGGCGACUGUUGGCGACGAAUUUCUCGAACAGACCUUCGAACCGAUCUGCGACGCUAUAGCUUUGGAUACUUUCAGGACCCGUCUUGAAACACGGACCAAGGAGUCUAGCAUGUACGCGAGUCAUUGGGAAUCACUAAACCUAAAGGCGCAAUGAAAGUAAAGGUCCGCCUCGCGCGGACUGAGGGAAGAUGGGCGGUUUACCCUUAAAAGUGGCCGCUCCGCACUCCCGGGGCGUCUCGUUCUCAUCGCGAGAAGAGGCGCACCAUGAGCGUACACGCUGGGACCCGAAAGAUGGUGAACUAUGCCUGGUCAGGACGAAGUCAGGGGAAACCCUGAUGGAGGUCCGUAGCGAUUCUGACGUGCAAAUCGAUCGUCGGAACUGGGUAUAGGGGCGAAAGACUAAUCGAACCAU
rnacentral:rRNA from 1 species